AUUGAACGCUGGCGGCAUGCUUUACACAUGCAAGUCGGACGAGUGGCGAACGGGUGAGUAACGCAUCGGAACGUACCGAGUAAUUGGGGAUAACUGUCCGAAAGGACAGCUAAUACCGCGUACCCUAGGAUGAGCCCAAGUGGGAUUGGGUAGUUGGUGGGGUAAGUGCGUCCCAAGGCGCCGAUCUCUAGCUGGUCUGAGAGGAUGACCGGGCACACCGGGACGGAGACACGGUCCAGACUCCUACGGGAGGCAGCAGUGGGGAAUAUUGCACAAUGGGCGCAAGCCUGAUGCAGCCAUGCCGCGUGUAUGAAGAAGGCCUUCGGGUUGUAAAGUACUUUCAGCGGGGAGGCGUUACCCGCAGAAGAAGCACCGGCUAACUCCGUGCCAGCAGCCGCGGUAAUAC
rnacentral:rRNA from 1 species